GGGGUUUGGGGGUGCAGAGCAGAGCUAGUGGACUUUUGCAGCUUUUAUCCUGGUGACAAUGAUUUUAGCUGAGUUGCAAAGUAGUCUUUCUCUGCUCCAAGAUUAUGGCAGUGAUCCCAGCCUCAUUCGCCAUUGUACAGCUGUCUAAGUAACAAUUAUCAGGAUUUAUCCAGAUGACAAGAACUUUGGUUGAGUUGCAAAGUAUGUUUUUCACAGGGAAUGCAGUGGAUUCUCAUUGCGCAGUGAUGUGUGCUCAUGGUGUCUACCUGUGAGGAUGAUCCAAAUGUGAACUAGUACAAUACAGUGAUACAUUUCUAUGGGAUAAUUCAUAGUACGAUGCAGUGAUAUAUUGUUUCAUUUGUUCUUUAGUGUCUAGACGCUAGUUAUGAUUAAGUAGGCU
rnacentral:lncRNA from 1 species